ensembl:snRNA U6 U6 spliceosomal RNA
CUUAAGAAACACAGGUCAAGAAUUGGUUUUGCUGGAACAAUACAGAGAAUAUUAGCAUAGCCCUUGCGCAAGAUGACAUGCGAACUCAUGAAGUGUUCCAUAUUAAA